rnacentral:rRNA from 1 species
AACGAACGCUGGCGGCAGGCUUAACACAUGCAAGUCGAGCGCCCCGCAAGGGGAGCGGCAGACGGGUGAGUAACGCGUGGGAAUCUACCCAUCACUACGGAACAACUCCGGGAAACUGGAGCUAAUACCGUAUACGUCCUUCGGGAGAAAGAUUUAUCGGUGAUGGAUGGGCCCGCGUUGGAUUAGCUAGUUGGUGGGGUAAUGGCCUACCAAGGCGACGAUCCAUAGCUGGUCUGAGAGGAUGAUCAGCCUCACUGGGACUGAGACACGGCCCAGACUCCUACGGGAGGCAGCAGUGGGGAAUAUUGGACAAUGGGCGAAAGCCUGAUCCAGCCAUGCCGCGUGAGUGAUAAAGGCCCUAGGGUUGUAAAGCUCUUUCGCAGGUGAAGAUAAUGACGGUAACCUGAGAAGAAGCCCCGGCUAACUUCGUGCCAGCCGCCGCGGUAAGAC